rnacentral:snRNA from 1 species
AUCCUUAUGCAAGGGAAAUACGCAUAUCAGUGAGGAUUCGUCCGAGAUUGUGUUUUUGCUGGUUGAAAUUUAAUUAAACCAGACCUGCUCCUCAUUGUCGCCAGUUAGAUGUUCGCUUCAUGAACAUCUCAGAUAAUGUAGGGAAUUUUUGGAAUACUUUUAUUUUCUAAUCAUGAAUUUUCCCAUCAAGAUAACCGAUGAGAGAAGGAGU